rnacentral:rRNA from 1 species
UACGGAAGGAGCAAGCGUUAUCCGGAAUCACUGGGUUUAAAGGGUGCGUAGGCGGUGGUGUAAGUCAGUUGGGAAAUGCCCCGGCUUAACCGGCGGAACUGCGAUUGAUACUGCAUCACUUGAAUCAGGAUGAGGUAGGCGGAAUGUGGCAUGUAGCGGUGAAAUGCUUAGAUAUGCCAUAGAACACCGAUUGCGAAGGCAGCUUGCUGGGCCUGAAUUGACGCUGAGGCACGAAAGCGUGGGGAGCAAACAGG